rnacentral:rRNA from 1 species
UGAGGAAUUUUGCGCAAUGGGGGAAACCCUGACGCAGCAACGCCGCGUGAGCGAUGAAGGCCUUUGGGUCGUAAAGCUCUGUCGGAUGGGAAGAAAAAAAUGACGGUACCAUCAGAGGAAGCCCCGGCUAACUCCGUGCCAGCAGCCGCGGUAAUACGGAGGGGGCAAGCGUUGUUCGGAAUUAUUGGGCGUAAAGCGCGUGUAGGCGGUAAGGUAAGUCAAACGUGAAAGUCAACGGCUCAACCGGGGAAUUGCGUUUGAUACUGUCUUACUGGAGUACGGUAGAGGAGAGUGGAAUUCCUAGUGUAGCAGUGAAAUGCGUAGAUAUUAGGAAGAACACCGGUGGCGAAGGCGGCUCUCUGGCCCGUUACUGACGCUGAGACGCGAAAGCCAGGGGAGCGAACGGG